rnacentral:snoRNA from 1 species
UUGCUCUGAUGAUGGUCUUUAAACAUUUGCAGUUUCCUCCAGAAGGUUGGGUGUUGGGUAAACCAACCUUGGAUGUCUCAGGUU